GAUGUAGUAUUGAUAUAGACGCUUCUUAUAGCCCUGAAACAUUGGGGUCAUCUUCUUCAUAGACCAAUCUCGAACUCUUUCCUUCAACUGUUCAUCGUUUGUCUCCAGUGUGAAAUGUUGCAAGACGUCACUCCAGAGUAGCUCCUUGUCACGUCUAGAGACAUAACUGAUUUCUAGGUGUUUCUUGUUCUCCUUCCAUUCACAGACACUGAUCGGGAUCCUAUCCCGGACAAGGUACCCUAAGUGGUAGACGAAGGCCCUUGAAUGGGGUCCAAGUGGCUUGCCUGUUGCUUCCUCGAAUUCUGAGAUUACUAACCGGCCCUCCAUAGGCUUCUUCGGGCCUCGUACUCUCCGGCUGGUCCCCGUGGUUGUCGUCGAGCCAGAGGGCUAUGUAGAAAGAAACAAGACAAUUUAAUACAUGAUAUUAUUUCGAAUUAUAUCUAUAAAAACAAAGGAGACUACCAUAUUACAGACCUGCUGGCCAGCAUUGUCUUGCUCAUUCGGGUCGACCAAAUACUGAGAGCAGUCAUCGAUGCCCUCAGGGUUCUCAUCGCCUUCGCGGUCGUCGUGAUAAACUUCUUCAUUGGGACCGCAAAUCAGGUUCAUCAUUUCCUCUUCGUGUUCUCUCGGGUCGGCCAUUUCUGCAGAAAUAUGUGACACAUGACUACAAUAUAUAAAACUAGGGUUUAGGGUUUAGGGGUUAGGGGUUAGGGUUUAGGGUUUAGGGCUUAGGGCUUAGGGCUUAGGUUUAGGGUUUAGAGUAUAUCAUUUGCUAACAAUUAAAUAUAUCAUAAUUGUAACACUAAUUUAUACCACUAAUUGUACCACUAAUUAUAGCACUAAUUGUACCACUAAUAGAUCCAUCUCUAGACAUACCUGUAGUUUGAAGGCGGUGAGACGGCGGAGAGACGGCGGUCGGUGCGGAGACUCGACGGGGACUUCGGUGACGACGGCAGAGAGACGUCGAUGUAGAAGAAGGAAGAAAGACGGAACGAAUAUUAUAUCACAUUUACAUAUUGUGGCACAUGCAUGAAGCACUAAAUAUAGAAGAAAACAAAAACUAAUUUGCUACAAACAAACGAAAAUACUACAGUACCCUAAUUAUGUACUAUUAAUAUUAAUAUUUUUUACUAUAUAUUUAGUUAAAGUUAUUUCUUUAUUUCGUCAGAUUUUUCGCAUGAAGCACUAAUUUGCUACAAACAAACAGAGUAUAUUAAUUUUUUAUUCUAUCAUUUUGUAUACUGAAAAUAUCAUAUAAAACAUCACAUAUGUAGUAAGUGAACAUUACUAAAUACACCAUAGAACAUCACUAAAUAAAUUACAGAACAUCACAUCGCAUAUAUAUUGUGUGAACAUCACUAAAUACAUCAUAGAACACUAUAUGUAUACUAUGUGAACAUCGCUAAAAUAUGUUAUAGAACAUCACAUAUAUAUUACGUGAAAAAACUAAAACACCAUAGAACAUCACUAAUUACAUUAAAGAACAUCGUAUAUAUAUUACGUGAAAAUAAAUAAGAAAUUGGUACUAUAAUAUACAUGAAUUGGUACUAUAAUAUACAUGAAAAUAAAUAAAUAAAUAAAUAAAUAAAAAAUAAAUAUAUAUAUAUAUGAAUUUGAGCAGAGGCAAUAUUCUAGAUUCAUAAGAAAUUGGUACUAUAAUAUACAUGAAAAUAAAUAAAUAUAUAAUGUAAUACAAAUAAUAACUAGAGCAAAGCAUAAGAAAAAAAAUAAAAACAUGUAACAAAGAAAAAAAUUUAAAGAACAUCGUAUAUAUAUUACGUGAACAUCACUAAAUACACUAUAGAACAUCACUAAUUGAUUUAAAGAAUAUCGCAUAUAUAUUAUGUGACACAUCACUAAAUAUAUUUAGUUAAAGUUAUUUCUUUGUUUUUUUAUAUUUUUUUUUCAUUUUUUACUUCAAUAUUUAGUGUGUUAGAACUAGGUUUUAUUUUUUUACUGUAUAUUUAGUUAAAGUUAUUUCUUUGUUUUUUCAUUUUUUUUCAUUUUCAUUUCUUAGCCCACGGGGGCUCGGGCGCAAGGGGGGCUCGGGCUGCGCCGCCGGUGGGGGCGCGCGUGCCCGCGUGCCCGACGGUGUACGGCGUGGGGCCCGCACAACUGCCCCCCGCCCACAGCGUUGUCGGGCGCGGAGGGCGCACGGCGUACGGCGACGGCGGGCGCGCGCGAGAACGAGAGAAAGAGAGGAGAGAGGGAUAGAGGCGGCGGGCGCAUGGCGUACGGCGGGGCGUCCUCGGGGCGGCGCUCGGAGUAAGGACGACGGAGCGGCGGCGGAGAAGACGACGGGUCGCGCGCGGCGGUUAGGGCACGGCAGGAGAAAGACGACGGAUCGACGCGGGCACAGUGUGCAGGAGGAAGAAGGGCUCUGCCCUUUAUAGGGCAAGACACCUUUAGUUCUCGAUGGAACCGAGGUUAAAGGACCUUUAGUCCGGGGCGCUAGCUCGGCCCGGGACUAAAGAGUUCUCACUAAAUUAUGGCGCCAGUUUAGGCGCCAUAAUUUGGUUUUUCCUUUUUUUUUUCUCUUUACAUUGUUAAAUGCAUUAUAAAUUAAAUAAAUCUGAUAAAAUUGUUUAAAAAAUACACAUUAAUUUUAUUCUGCUCUACUCUUCAGUAUAAAAAUUAUUAACACAAUUGUUUUUCAAAUAUUUCAUAUUAUUCAAAACAAAUGUUAUUCAUAAUGAAUAUUGUGUUAAUGUAAAAAUAUAAUGGCCAAUUAAAUUUUAAAAAAUUGUUGGCUUUUGACAGAUACUUGGUUUUUGGGUCAUUUGGACGUUAAACUUUUGUUUCUUUAAUAAUAAUUAUACAAAUGCGCGACAUUGAUUGUAUAAAUUUUUCAAAAGUUGUAAGAUGGAUUUUGGAACCCUGGAUGGCCUCAAAUAGAAAACUCAUGAAUACAAAGUUUGUUCCACUCAUCAAGACCUACAUUUUCUCUAAUGGACACAUUUUCAUUUGAAAAAGUUUAGACCACUCAAUUUUGAAAUUUAAAAGAAUUCAUAGCGAAACGCUAAUUUUCAGAACCAUGGAUAGCCUCAGAUGGAAAACUCAUGAAUACCAAUAUUGCUUCACUCAUCAAGAUCUACAUUUCAUAUAUAGACCAUUUUUGUAUUUGACAAAGUGCUGACAAAGUGU
rnacentral:lncRNA from 1 species